CCUGGUCUUCCACCUUCUCAAAUAUAAAGCUUUUAAAAAGUAACUAAUGACGUCACUGCCACGGCUACCAGAACAAUAUACCUAUAUCCAAAUUUAAUGGUCAUGAUGGUAGAAGUACGCAUGUGCCACUUCACAGUGUUAUAAUUAUUAUUUUUUUGUGAUACCAAGGAUUUGUAUAGUCUUACUAUACAAAUCCUUGGUGAUACCAGUAUCCAAUGGUACGAGUUAAAUUGGUUCCCUUUUUAGUUGUGUUGGUAUCUUAAAGCAUUGGUUUUGCUUCUCUCUCUUCGAGAGAAACUCUACUGUGAUAGUCGACUUUGGUAUAUUUUUACCCCCUUAUUGAUAGGAUUUCAAACUCCUGAGGUUUUUAUAUGUAAACCUUUAGAAUAGUUUGUAAGCAGGAAAUCAUUCAGACGUACUUCGCCCUUAGAUGCAAGGUCUUUCUUAGCACGUUUAGCAGCAUUCUUCUCUGUUUUUAGGUCUGUCUUUUCUUUUCCCUUUCCUUGCUUGUCUUUUUUGUUUUUCUUUCCCAUUCUGUCAGAACAAAAUCCCAAACACGUGUGCUAAAUAUAAACAAUCUAUUCAAAAAUAUUGUUCGAUAGACUGUAUGAAACGUACUAACAUAAAACGCA
rnacentral:lncRNA from 1 species